rnacentral:rRNA from 1 species
AUUGAACGCUGGCGGCGGGCCUAACACAUGCAAGUCGAGCGGAUGAAGGGAGCUUGCUCCUGGCUUCAGCGGCGGACGGGUGAGUAAUGCCUAGGAAUCUGCCUGGUAGUGGGGGAUAACGUACGGACGCGGGCGCUAAUACCGCAUACGUCCUGAGGGUGAAAGUGGGGGAUCUUCGGACCUCACGCUAUCAGAUGAGCCUAGGUCGGAUUAGCUAGUUGGUAGGGUAAAGGCCUACCAAGGCGACGAUCCGUAGCCGCACUGAGAGGGUGAUCGGCCACACUGGAACUGAGACACGGUCCAGACUCCUACGGGAGGCAGCAGUAGGGAAUCUUCCGCAAUGGGCGAAAGCCUGACGGAGCAACGCCGCGUGAGUGAUGAAGGUCUUCGGAUCGUAAAACUCUGUUAUUAGGGAAGAACAAAUGUGUAAGUAACUAUGCACGUCUUGACGGUACCUAAUCAGAAAGCCACGGCUAACUACGUG